rnacentral:rRNA from 1 species
ACGGGUGAGUAACGCGUGGGAAUCUACCCAGUUCUACGGAACAACAGUUGGAAACGACUGCUAAUACCGUAUACGCCCUACGGGGGAAAGAUUUAUCGGAAUUGGAUGAGCCCGCGUAAGAUUAGCUAGUUGGUGGGGUAAUGGCCUACCAAGGCGACGAUCUUUAGCUGGUCUGAGAGGAUGAUCAGCCACACUGGGACUGAGACACGGCCCAGACUCCUACGGGAGGCAGCAGUGGGGAAUAUUGGACAAUGGGCGCAAGCCUGAUCCAGCCAUGCCGCGUGAGUGAUGAAGGCCUUAGGGUUGUAAAGCUCUUUCAGUAGGGAAGAUAAUGACGGUACCUACAGAAGAAGCCCCGGCUAACUUCGUGCCAGCAGCCGCGGUAAUACGAAGGGGGCUAGCGUUGUUCGGAUUUACUGGGCGUAAAGCGCACGUAGGCGGUUUGUUAAGUCAGAGGUGAAAUCCCGGAGCUCAACUCCGGAACUGCCUUUGAUACUGGCAAGCUAGAGUCCGGAAGAGGUAAGUGGAACUCCUAGUGUAGAGGUGGAAUUCGUAGAUAUUAGGAAGAACACCAGUGGCGAAGGCGGCUUACUGGUCCGGAACUGACGC